GCUGACUACUCCUGAUAACCUUCUCUUCCAAAUGCCUAGAGAUGGCAUCCAAAACAAGUUGUUCUAUCAGCUUUCCAGGGAUAGAGGUGUGCUCCUGGCUACAGUGCAUGAAGAGUGAUGCAAGAUUCAUCAGGUCAGAAGGAGAGCACACGCUGCUAUUUUGUCAGCAUAUUGCUCGGAAGUGUGCUGUCAGUCAUGGCAUAAUGGUGGACUCACUGAAAGAAAACACAAGGAAUAAUGUGGACAAGUUUUGCUGUUAGUUCCAUGUGAAUAAAAUUCUGA